CCUACGGGAGGCAGCAGUGGGGAAUAUUGCACAAUGGGGGAAACCCUGAUGCAGCGACGCCGCGUGAAUGAUGAAGGUCUUCGGAUUGUAAAGUUCUUUUCUAAGGGAAGAAGAAAGUGACGGUACCUUAGGAAUAAGCCUCGGCUAACUACGUGCCAGCAGCCGCGGUAAUACGUAGGAGGCGAGCGUUAUACGGAAUGACUGGGCGUAAGGGGUGCGUAGGUGGGUUGGCAAGUCAGUAGCGUAACUCCAAGGCUCAACCUUGGAACUACUACUAAAACUGUUGGACUUGAGUGCAGGAGAGGCAAGCGGAAUUCCGGGUGUAGCGGUGGAAUGCGUAGAUAUUAGGAGGAACACCAGUGGCGAAGGCGGGUUGCUAGACUGUAACUGACACUGAGGCACGAAAGCGUGGGGAGCAAACAGGAUUAGAUACCCGAGUAGUC
rnacentral:rRNA from 1 species